GACGGAAGGUGCAAGCGUUGCUCGGAAUCACUGGGCGUAAAGGGUGCGUAGGCGGCCUCUCAAGUCUGGCGUGAAAGCCCACGGCUCAACCGUGGAAGUGCCUUUGAUACUGCGUCCCUCGAGGGAGGUAGGGGCGUGCGGAACUUCCGGUGGAGCGGUGAAAUGCGUAGAUAUCGGAAGGAACACCGGUGGCGAAAGCGGCGCGCUGGACCU
rnacentral:rRNA from 1 species